AACGGCGGAAAGUUUUUUAAGACAAGCUUAUUAACUAAGUCCACGAUUAACCGCUGACACAUACACAGAUUAGUAAGAGGAAACAAGUCCGGGACCGUUAGGACCGUUACGUCCUUGCACCGCGGGGAAUGUUUGAAAAAUUGAGCGGGGACGGUGCGACGGCGUGUUUUGUCCAACGAUCAUCAGACGCCUCAGCGGUUUCACUGAGACCAAUCCUUCACAAAAUAAUACGAUGUUAAAAGAAGAGGACCUCGGCAGCCCUUCACCGAGCCAGAAAACCUCCGGUCCAAAUAAAGCCCAGGAGAUGGAUGCCAAUGACACUACCCCCCCUCCAGAGGUGGCUGCUUCCACCUGAUUCAGAGGCUGACGAAGGGAAUGAUCCAGCGUAUAUAACGUUAUGAAUAGACACAUCGGCACUAUACUAAUAAGAACAAUAUAAUGUUUGUGUUUCUGCAUUUUACCCAUAUUGCACUCGGGUUUGUUCUGCCUUUCCAUUUUCCAGAAGCUUCCUUGACUCGAAGUCAGAUCCAGCAGAUGCAGCAUUUCAACAGUUGCAUAUUGACAGUGCUCCUUAGAUUGUUGCUUGCUUUUAAGUCCAAAAGGGAGACACUAGUGUUGUUGUUAUUGUUUAUGUUGUUGACCAAUCAUACUGUUAAUAAUGCAAAUGUAUUUUUGUUCUCCCACCUGAACUACUGAAUGUUUAUUGAAUGUGUAUUUAUUAUCAGUAACGGUGCUCGUUUCAGGUCACAAGUAUAAAGUCAAGCACUUUUGUUUCUCGGGUGAUGAACUGCAUGUUUAUUGAACUGUACUGUCCCUGUAAUGUUUACAGUAACUCAAAUAAAAAUA